CCUACGGGAGGCAGCAGUGGGGAAUAUUGGACAAUGGGGGCAACCCUGAUCCAGCCAUGCCGCGUGUGUGAGGAAGGCCCUCGGGUUGUAAAGCACUUUCAGUGAGGAAGAACGCCUGGUGGUUAAUACCCAUCAGGAAAGACAUCACUCACAGAAGAAGCACCGGCUAACUCCGUGCCAGCAGCCGCGGUAAUACGGAGGGUGCGAGCGUUAAUCGGAAUUACUGGGCGUAAAGCGCGCGUAGGUGGCUUGAUAAGCCGGUUGUGAAAGCCCCGGGCUCAACCUGGGAACGGCAUCCGGAACUGUCAAGCUAGAGUGCAGGAGAGGAAGGUAGAAUUCCCGGUGUAGCGGUGAAAUGCGUAGAGAUCGGGAGGAAUACCAGUGGCGAAGGCGGCCUUCUGGACUGACACUGACACUGAGGUGCGAAAGCGUGGGUAGCAAACAGGAUUAGAUACCCUAGUAGUC
rnacentral:rRNA from 1 species